ACCAGCUGUGGGCCACAGACAGAGAACAGAGAAGUACAGGAUUUAGACACAUUAGACCAACUACUGAGUCAGUUAGAAAGGUAAUCAUACAGUAGAUAUUACCAUUAGGAGUCAGUUAGAAAGGUAAUCAUACAGUAAGUUAAUACAGCAAGUAAAUGUAACUUAGAAUCAUAGAUUUUACAAUAAGAGGUCAGACAGACUUAAUUAGUUGAUUUAUCGAUUAAUUGGUUUAAUCAUUGAUAUUCGGUACGGUUAGUUAAGAUGGCCGAGUACGUCAACAAACAGGUGAUUGAAUUGAAUGAAGUUACUGAAGAAAACCGGAACAGAUUAACGAAGAGCGUGAAGACUGAGACCCAUCUCUCAGAUGGAAGAACAGGAGUCUACAGGCUGGCUGCUGGGUGUUUAGGAGUGCUGUGUGUUCUACAAGUCACUCUCAACAUCUCCCUGAGGCUGGCUUUCUGUGAGUGUAUUGUUAUCUAAUCAUUACACUAUAUCAGAGUCCCAAAUGACACACUAUUGGGGCGGCAGGGUAGCCUAGUGGUUAGAGUGUUGGACUAGUAACCGGAAGGUUGCAAGUUCAGAUCCCCGAGCUGACUAG